UUUAUUUAUUUUAUUAUAAUUGUUUUUUGUUAGUUUAUUUUUUAAUAAAAGAAAUUUUAUUUAUUAUUUUGUCUUAGUAUAUUUUAUAGAAUUGAUUAUUUUUGUUAUAGUUUAAUAGUAAUGCAAUUGGAUUAUGAAAUAAUUUUUUAAUUAUCAAAAAGUAGAUUUAAUUUGUUGUAUCUUUUGUAUCAGGGUUUAUUAAAUUUUUAGCAUUUAUUUACUAAUCUCGAUUUAGGUUGAUUUACAAAUAAAUUAAAGUUAAUGUGUCAUAAUUAUUUUUAAUUUAUUUGUAGAAAUGAAAUGUUAAUCGUUUCCUAAUAUAUCUAGUUUCUUAAGAAAAAAAUUUAAUUUUUUAAAGUUAAUAGUUUUUAUUCACUUUUUUAUAUAGAAAUGUUAACUUAUUUAUUCUUUAGGGGAUAAGCUCUAGAGUUUUCCUAUAAUUUUAUUAAUUUUGAUUUAAUAGUAAGCUUUAAACCAGCUAUCUUUUUGAUUACGUUUUAGUUCAUUAUUUAUUAUUUUGAUUUUAUAAAUAUUUUAGGUUUUAUAUUAAGAUUAUUAAUUUAAUUUUUAAAUUAUUGUAAUAAUGAUAGAAUUAGUAUAUAUAUAUUUAUUGUUUAUAAUAUUUUAUUAUGUUAAUUUAUUAUAAGGAAUUAGGCAAAAUUGAUUUCCGCCUGUUUAUCAAAAACAU
rnacentral:rRNA from 1 species